GACGAGGGGUCCAAGCGUUGUUCGGAAUCAUUGGGCGUAAAGCGGGUGUAGGCGGCUCUAUAAGUCAGAAGUGAAAGCCCCGGGCUCAACCUGGGAAGUGCUUUUGAAACUGCAGAGCUUGAAUGUGGGAGAGGGUAGUGGAAUUCCAGGUGUAGUGGUGAAAUACGUAGAUAUCUGGAGGAACACCGGUGGCGAAGGCGGCUACCUGGCCCAACAUUGACGCUGAGACCCGAAAGCAUGGGGAUCAAACAGG
rnacentral:rRNA from 1 species